GGAAUAUUGGACAAUGGGCGAAAGCCUGAUCCAGCCAUGCCGCGUGUGUGAAGAAGGUCUUCGGAUUGUAAAGCACUUUAAGUUGGGAGGAAGGGCAGUAAGCGAAUACCUUGCUGUUUUGACGUUACCGACAGAAUAAGCACCGGCUAACUCUGUGCCAGCAGCCGCGGUAAUACAGAGGGUGCAAGCGUUAAUCGGAAUUACUGGGCGUAAAGCGCGCGUAGGUGGUUUGUUAAGUUGAAUGUGAAAUCCCCGGGCUCAACCUGGGAACUGCAUCCAAAACUGGCAAGCUAGAGUAGGGCAGAGGGUGGUGGAAUUUCCUGUGUAGCGGUGAAAUGCGUAGAUAUAGGAAGGAACACCAGUGGCGAAGGCGACCACCUGGGCUCAUACUGACACUGAGGUGCGAAAGCGUGGGGAGCAAACAGGAUUAGAUACCCCAG
rnacentral:rRNA from 1 species